rnacentral:tRNA from 1 species
CGGGAGGUAGCUCAACUGGGUAGAGCAGCAAAAUAGUGCUUCAUGUCCGUGGAGCUUACAGCAAUUUUGCGUGUCGGAGGUUCGACUCCUCCCCUCCCGA